rnacentral:tRNA from 1 species
GCCCCGGUAGCUCAGCCGGAUAGAGCGUCCGCCUCCUAAGCGGAAGGUCAUAGGUUCGAGUCCUAUUCGGGGCGCCA